UGGGCUAGUAGCUCAGUUGGUUAGAGCACUGCUCUGAUAAGGCAGGGGUCGAUAGUUCAACUCUAUCCUGGCCCAUC
rnacentral:tRNA from 1 species